GGGUGUGUAGCUCAGUUGGUAGAGCAUCGAUCUCCAAAGUCGACGGUCGGGGGUUCAAGUCCCUCCGCACUCG
rnacentral:tRNA from 1 species